AUUGAACGCUGGCGGCAGGCCUAACACAUGCAAGUCGAGCGAGCGGCGGACGGGUGAGUAUUGUAUGGGGAUCUGCCCGAUAGAGGGGGAAAAAACUGGGAAACGGUAUAUAUAAUACCUACUGACCGGAUGUAUCCAUAUGGGUUUAGCGAGUAGGUGUGGUAUCGGUUCACCAAGGAGACGAUCCCCAGCUGGUUUGAGAGGAUGAUCAGCCACACUGGAACUGAGACAAGGCCCAGACUCCGACGGGAGGCAGCAGUGGGGAAUAUUGCACAAUGGGCGCAAGCCUGAUGGAGCCAUGCCGCGUGUGUGAAGAAGGCCUUCGGGUUGUAAAGUUCUUUCAGUAGUGAGGCGUUACCGAAAGAGGAAGCACCGGCUAACUCCGUGCCAGCAGCCGCGGUAAUAC
rnacentral:rRNA from 1 species